ensembl:lncRNA RMST rhabdomyosarcoma 2 associated transcript
UCAAAAGAUUCUCAGGAUGAUGGAGUGAGUGAUGGAAUAGGUUGCCAACUGUAGUUACUCCACUCAGCACAGAAUGGCUGCGGGGAAAUAUAAUCAGACAUGCCCAAAGAAGUCUGCUUAGGGUGAAACAAAUACCUUUGAGGUUUAAAUCAGAAAGGAAGGAGAGACUGUUUCUACAGGUGUCAUACAAAAAUCAAUACUGAGCCAAGGAUUAUUGGAUCCCAUAGAACCACGGAGACUUGGUAGUGAAAUUCUUCCAAAGAUGGUGUUCCUAGGUUUGGAAAUAUAAAUCCCAUGGGAAGUCAGCUGAAGACCAUUUUAUGCAUCACUCAUCCUGUUAGAGCCCUGUGCUGUUCUGUCUCUCUAUAAGACUGGCUGAAACCACCACGGUUGUUUACAAUUUAUGCUCUAACUUUGGAUCACCUAGUUAAUACUCUAACUCCGAUUAUUACCAAAGACAAUGUUCUAUAAAAGAUAUUGUCUAUUAGAAGGAUGCUUCUGCAUUAUUAAUAAAAUCACAGGGAAAAUGCAACAUUUUGGAUGUCACAUCUGAUAAGUGGGUGACUGAUCGUACCCGCCAGCUGGCUAAUGUCAUAAUUAACAAAGUUGCUACUACAUCUGCAAAGUUUAAUCGAAAAAUUUGCCAGUGAUAUGAUGGCCUUGUCACAGAGAUCACAAGGGACACGGAGUUGACUUUUGCUCAAGGUGGAACGACAGAGCUGUGUAGGCAAGAUGAGAAAUUGCGAACUUGUUCGGCCAAAGGAGGCUAAUAAUGAAGGGGCCGGGAAGGAGGCCAGUGCUACCAGGGUUAUCUCACAACCUCAGAUGCUGGAUAAGUCGACGGAGGCAGAAUCGCUUUGGGAUGACAUUCAGAAAGCCUGGAGUGAUUACUUGCAAGAGAAAAGCCUACCUAUUCUUUCCAAGGUGCAGGAAUAUUCCCCUGACCUGCUCAUCCAGUGGUCCAGUAAUGAAUUACUGGAGACCUGCCUUAGACAAAGAAUGCACUCGGAGCCCCAACACACCUAAAGCCAUGCUUUGAAGGAUCUGCCAAGCUCACUUUUAAUCAUGAGAAAGAAAUUACCCACACGGAGUCAGCAGAAAAUGAGAAAGUAGAGCUCGUGCUGUGAAUAAUUCCAGCAAGUGCCAAGGGGCUAGUUGAGGAAUGGCUUCAUGAGAACAUGCUCUAGGGGAACUAUUAAUAGCCCACCAGUCGGGUAGGCAGCAUUCAAUCCUUCUAUGCCUUCUUUCGCCACCUGUUGAGGUCUUUCUUCUGAAACAAAGAAGAAAUAGACAAAUCAGACUUGCCCUCUUGGAAAUGUGGUCCAGAUUUCUCUACUCCCAAGCUCCAAAAAAGGUAUACAUUGGAUGGGCUAGAUCAACUCCUCCUGAGAGCCAUAAAUCCGCCAAGAGUUGUUUUCCAUGUAAGGGUGUGGUACAAUGGGGAACACCUGAUGUUGGAGGAAAGCAGGAGGACUUUAGAGUGGAGUUGCAUUCUAAUCUCUCUGCCGCUUCAACUAUGUGACCUGGGGCAAAUGAUAUAAACUCUAUGAGCCUCUUUCCUUAUCUUUAAAAUGAAGAGAAGUAAUACCUACCUUGUAGGGCUGUUGUGAGGAUUAAAUGAAGUAAUGCAUACAGUGCCUAACAAAGUAUUUAACAUCAUAUUUUUUAAAAGCUCAUGAAAUAUUAGUUUUUCUUCCUUCCCCUCUUUCUAUUUUCUCUCCUGUUCCCUUUUCUCUCCCUCCUCUGCCCUCUCCUUCCUUCAGAUGUUAGUCUAAAACAGCACCUUGGAUCUAAGCAGCACCUUUGAGAAAGAAAAGACUGCUUCAAGAAUGUCUAGUUGCACCUCCUUUCCGUAUGUGGCCUAAAUGCCUAGGUUGGAUCAAUAGUUUAAUUUUUUUAUUGAACUGUUUAAUAUUGACUAUGGACUUACAUUCACUUUUACUGUUUUCUGUAUAUUUACUUUUGCUUGAAGUGUUUUAAUAUUGACUAUUUACCUCUGCUCAUUUUUAUUGAUUUUCUGUAUUUUUUCAAUGAAAAUUAUAAUAAAAAUUAUUUUUGUUA